UGGCGGGGGGAGGGGGCCGCCGCAGCCCGCCCCGGCCCGCCGCCCUCGGUCGCCUCGCCGCCCUCCCCUCGUAUCGCCCCCAGCUCUGCCCUCCCGUGAAGCCCCGGCCCUGGGAGUCCCGUCGUUUCUCCCCGCGGCGGCAGGGGCGCUGGCGGGGGGAGCCCGGCGUUUCCAGCCUUGCUGGAGCUCGGCUGCGCCGGUCCCGGGAGGCGUAAAACGUUGUGGCCGUUCUGAGCCAAAGCGGCUUGCUGAGGGAGGAGAGGCCCUGCUUGCCCCAUGCGCCCGGCGAGAGGGCAGCCACCUGCCGCCCUGGGGACCGGGAGCAGUGGCCCAGGAGGUUGUGAUUCUGGAAAACAGAAGGCAGUGCUGGACAACUAUAGCUCUACGUUUAAGUAUUGUGACAGUGAAUUACUGUGCAAGAGAGAACAUUCCGAGUGAGUCUCAAAAUAGAAGGCAGUUAAGUAAUGCAAGUGAUAAUGAGGAGAAACCAUGUGCUGAUCCAGCUGUCCACACAUCAUUAAGGAGUCCUUUCUGGAUCACAGGAUGA
ensembl:lncRNA